AGUUCCUUUUUGAUGGACAGGCUACACCCGCAAGGCCGCUUGACUAUGAGGAGAACGAUAACCAGGCCGUCGACGCUGCUGCCAAGCCUACCUCUCGCCAUGUAGCCCAAGAAGAGUGGCGUCGGCAUCCAUAGCUCCGGCUUCAGGGACUUCUUACUCAUGCCCGGGCUACUCCGGGCCAUCCAGAAAUUCAGCCUUGAGCACCCAUGGGCAAUUGAGUUCGAAUGAUUAGCAUGUAUAUAUGCCCCUUAGCUAUUCCCCUCGGAGCCAUUAAUAGGCACCGCUUCGCUUUCAGGUUUCAACCCACUUGAGCCGAGUGAAAUGCAUUAAAGUAUCACAAUUGUGUCGUCAUUACUAGCAACUUAACAUCACUUUUGUGUUUUCGACAACUUAACAUCACUUUUGUGUUUUCGACCCAAAAAACACAUUUUUUUAGUUAA